rnacentral:lncRNA from 1 species
GCCCUUCAGUUGCAUUCGGCUUCCUCCUCUUCUCCAGUUGGCUGCAUACCUUGGCUGAAAGCCACGGUUCCGAUUGGGUGGCCCUCUCCAACAGAGACAACUAGUCUCUCUGGGUUCUGAUAACCAUUCUCCAUGUGCCCUUUCGAUCCUAGGGUGGUAAUGUCCCUCUCUGAUUCUAGCUCCACCACAGAUCUCCUUAACCAUCCCUUGCAAGUUUCCCUUAACCUGGCUCAGAACUUUGCAGUCACUUGAUUAAAUCCUCCUUAAUGACCCUGUCUGAGUGAGCCAUCUGUUUCCUGCUGGGAUCCUGACCGGUACAGGAAGAAAAAUGUUUCUCAGAAGCUGUCCAACACUCCCAUCCCACUUCCUGCCUGUCCCAACCCGAAAGGGAGAAAGAGAGAAAGAAAGAGGGGUAGGGGAAGGAGGGGAGGAAGGAAGGAAGGAAGGAAGGAAGAAGGAAGGAAGAAGGAAGGAAGGAAGGAAGGAGGAAGGAAGGAAGGGAGGGAGGAAGGAAGGGAGGGAGGGAGAAAGGAAGAAGGAAGGAAGGAAGGAAGGAAGGAAGGAAGGAAGGAAGGAAGGAAGGAAGAAGGAAGGAGGAAGGAAGGAAGGGAGGGAGGAAGGAAGGAAGGAAGGAGGAAGGAAGGAAGGAGGAAGGAAGAUUUCCUUCAGAUCUCUCUCUAGGAUAGAAUCAUGCAAUGGAGCCUGGGAAACAAGUAUCUGACAUUUCCAAAUAACCACCAUUGGGUAGUUAGUGGUGGGCAACCAAUAAUGUCUUCCUUAGAGGUACCCCAACGCUUUACCAAGAGAAGGAACGAUGUCGAUGGGCAGAGCAGGAGAGAAAAGUCAGAUGGGUGGCCCACUCCUGGUUUUCUGAAAACCCACAGGAAUUCUCAUGGCUCAUGGUUUGCCAGCAGUUACCAUGGUUACGGGGGUGGUGGGCAACAAGAAUCCAUUCCAGAGUGGGGCAAGGAGGACGGAGGGAUGCCAGCCACCUGCCAGCAGACUCAUGGAAACUCUCUCACGAUGGCGAGAGGGGUCUUUGGCCAGGACAACGACAGACUUUUAGAUCCUCCUAAGCCAGCCUUGCUUUUCACACUGAAACCCAAAAGAGAACGUCACAUGUCCUUUCCGACUGGCCAGGAUGCAAAGUCACCCUGUUUUCUGCCUUAGAAAAGUUGUCAAACCUCACAAGCUCGUGAUCUGACCAUUGUAAGUAAUAUGUCACAGAUGGGGGGAAAAGAAUUUUUUUAAGCCAUGUGGCAGCAAGGUGCACCAUAAUAAGAUUGAUAUUUGAAACCGCGUUGGUAAGCUUCAAACAAUUCACGCCUUGCAACCUUAUCAUCUAGCACAGCUCCGAG